rnacentral:lncRNA from 1 species
AUAGCUCAAUGGGAGCAUAUGUAUGAGCAGCCCUACCCAAUGAAACAGUGAUGGACAACUGGUCCACCUAGAUCAGCCAUGUCCUCUUUCCUGGAACUCAGAAUUUGAUUUAUGGAAUGAACAAAUGUGAUGUAGAAUUAGUGUAAGGGUUGCCAGCCAGGUCAUACACAGCCAUGUGUGACCCAUAUUCCUGGAGAAGAGGGAGCUAGGAGCCUACCAGAAAGAAUAAAAACAUGGGUGCAUGCCCAAGAGCAAAACAGAGGUCAUCAGCAUCUUAUAGCAGCCAGGAUAUAAAGGCUGGAGCUUCACUCCAUGAAUUGUAAUCUGAGAACUCUCUGGCCUGGCUAAAAGUUGCUUCCUGUUUUUGGAUGGUCACAUCAUUGAUCCUGUACCAAUCAAUAGUGUUGACUAAUUAAAGCCAUCCUUGUCUAACAGAUGAGUUACUUUACAAAUGGCAUUACUGUCUGAGAUUAAAAUUAUUUACAAAUAAGAAUGAUAUUAAUGGCUUCUUGAAUGUUUACCAGGUAACAAUCACUAUGCUAAUACUUUAUAUGUAUCAUCUCAGUUAAUUCUCAUGAUAAUCCUUUAAAGUAAUUGGUAGUAAUAUUCCUGUUUUGAAAAAGAAGACAUUGGGAUUCACAGAGGUUAAGGAAUUUUUUUAUUCAUCUCACAAGUAUUUCUUGUCUGGUCUAUGCCAGUCCCUUUUCCAGGGCUUGGAAUAUAUACCAACAAACAAAAUAGGUAAAGACCCCUCUUCCCUCAUGGAGAUUAUGUAGUACAGGGGAAAUCAGAAAAAAACUAUUAACAAAUAAGUUACGUUAGGUAGGAUAUUAGAUAGAGAUAAGUGCCCUGGAAUUGAAAUGAGAUCUGGGGUGUCAGGAUGGAUGUGGGCACUGGCUUGCAAUUUCAAACGGAGAGUUUAGGGUACACUUCACUAAGUUAUUUUACCAGAGGCUUAAAGGAGGUGAAGGAACAGUAGGUACCUUAUAGUUAUCUUGGAGAAGUGUAUUCCAGGCAGAGGGGAGAGCAAAUACAAAGUUCUAAGGCAGGACCAACAGCACACAGGCCAAUACAGUUGGAAUAGAAGGGCUGAUGGGAAGAGUGAGAAGGGAGGGAAAGAGGCCAGAGAAAUAAGGCGCCAGAUCUCAGGACCUCGAAGGCUGUCCUGGGGCUUUUUAUUCUGACUAGAAUGAAUAAGAGUCCUGAUCACACAAGUGACUUCUCAUUUACUUCUUGAAAGGACUACUUUGACUGCUGAUAUGAAAAGAGUCCAGAACCUAGUCCAUAAGGGCAUGCAGGUAAGUGCAGAGCCCAGAUUCAAGCUUAUUUCACUUCCAGGCAUCACAUUCUGUUCCCUCUUUGGUUGGUUAUAAAGGUUCUAAAGUUAUGAAGGGGUGUUUCAAAUCAUUUCUCCCUUGCUAUGGUCUAUUAUCUUUUUAUCUGUACUUUGACACAAGAAGCUGCUGUAGACAUCUUACCCUACUGAAUUAUCAUAAGAAUAUUAGUUAAUAUGGAUGAUGUAUAAGGUUCUUACUAUUUGUCUGGCACUGAACAAAGUUGAUAAAUGCAUUGUCUCAUUUGAGCCCCACAGCAAACCUGUAAGACAAUGGCACAGUUGUGAUGCUGCUGUGCAGAUGAGGACCUGAAUUUUGGAGAGUUUCUUUCUUCACCCUGCCUCCCAGGGAACUCUUCCACUUAAAGAUUUCCCAGAAGACUUGGCUUGGGAUAGGAAUGGCUUUUCAAGCACCUUCUCACUGAGAAGUUUGCCAGUUCCUUAAGACCAGGAACCAAGUCACAUGCUUCUCUUUAUUAAGCUGUGUUCCCAGGAUAGUAUCCUUCACAUGGAUAUUGUGAUAUGGAUCUAUUAUAUCAGUCUAAUAUAUUUAUUUUGGAUGAACGACUUAUGUUAACAACUUUUAGCCUAGUUAAAAUAGACUUUAGAAACAUCAAGUAUUUCUUUAGAAGUUCGUUUUAAUUCCAUUAUAAGCCACAAAGGAAUAUGUUCAAUGUGGAGCCUUGGAUGCCACGGAUUAAUGAAAUUUUGAGCAGGUGAUGGAGGUACAUUUGCUGAUCCAUUUAUUCAUACAUUUGCUGAUCCAUUUAUCCAUUUAUUCUACAAUGUAGCAUUCUCUUCCAUUCCCUUCUUUUUUUUCAGGGUGGUUGUGGAAGCUAGGAUUCAGUAUUUUAUUUUAUUUUUAUUGUUUGAACAUUUUUUAUAGUUGAUUUACAAUGUUGUAUUAUUUCAGGUGUACAGCAAGGUGAAUCAGCCACACAUAUAAAUAUAUCCACUCUUUUUUUUCCCCCAUAUAGGUUAUUACAAACUAUUGAGUAGAUUUAUCUGGGCUAUACAGUAGGUCCUCAUUAAUCAUCUAUUUAAUACACUCUCUUCUAUUAUGUACCUAAUAUGGGUCUUAUUUUCCUCACCUGUAAAAUGACACUGCUACUAAGGUUGCUGUAAUUGUUACUGGGCCGGACCCUGGGAGGCCUUCCUGGAGUGGACACCCCCCCCAUGACCUCCCCCUGCCUUUUUAUCUAUAGAAAAACUUUAGUCAAGAAUCAAUUUAAUUAGAGAAGUGAGAAAAUACAGAGGAAAAGGAAAACAAGCAAGCAAGACAGAAUAAAAAUAGUUUCGCCAUUCAACAGUCAAGGACUUUUAGUUCUUCCUCAAGGACUAUAGAUAAUAUUCUGAGUCAUGUCCUUGGGGCUGUUUUGCAGGUGCUGAAGCCCCCACCAGGUGGAAGAAGCCAACUAUAUGCUGCCCACAAGCACAAAGACCCCAGACCAGCUGGAACCAGAAGGUGGAUGACACUGCCUCACAAUUACCUCACCACCAGCCAAUCAGGAAAAUGUCUGUGAGCUGAUCAUAUGCUGUUCCUUGAGAACUAUAAGACUCCUAACUACCCCAUCCAAGGGGGGCCCAGUUCUUCAGGCACUACCCUGGGGUGUUCCCUCUUUGCCUGGCAAUUAAAGUUACCUUUUUUAUUUUCUCCAACUCUGUCUCCACGUUUCCAUUUGGCAUCGGUGUACAGAGGCAGCAGAUAUUUCAGCAACAUAAUCAUUAAACGAUCUAACACAUAUAAAGCAUUUGCCCAUUUCCUGGUUGAUAAUACAUGCUCAAGAAAUGGUAUCUUUUAUUCCAGUAUCUGCUUAGAAUUCCUUUUCUCAUCCUAGGGAUGCUGGGGUGGAUCUGAGCCAGACAGAAAAUCUGCUGCGGACAGAAAAUCUGCUCCUGCCUAAGUCUUUAGAAAUAUGUGCUAUCAUGACAGAGGUCUGUUGGUAAAUGUUUAACAACUGGUCUUGUAAAACAAAAGAAAAGCAAAAAUGUAAGUGUAGCAUUUGUCAAUUUCUGUGGUGUAAACACCCCCACCCUGGUUGAUGUCGAUUCUUGGGAAGUGAUGCCACUCCCCAUGUAAUUAGGAAGGUAAGGCACAAAAUUGACUCUUACCAGUGGGUUCUGCUGUGACGCACUGUGGCUGUUUUCCCACCAGGCUAAGCCUUCUUCUGGCUAGAAUGUACUAUCAGCCCAAAAUUCUUUUAUCCACUGAGGGAUUUAUCUUUACUGCCCCUGCUAAUAAGCUGAUUUUUACAUUAUUUUAUUUAUUUAUUUAUUUAUUUAUUUAUUUAUUUUUGUCUUCUAGGGCCAUACCCAGAGCAUAUGGAGGUUCCUAGGCUAGGGGUCAAAUCAGAGUUGUAGCUGCUUGGCCUACACCACGGCCACAGCAACGGCAGAUCCAAGCCGAGUCUGCAUCCUACACCACAGCUCGUGGCAACGCAGGAUCCUUAACCCACUGAGCGAGGCCAGGGAUUGAAACUGAGUCCUCAUGGAUGCUUGUCAGAUUCAUUUCCACUGAGCCAUGACAGGAACUCCUGCAUUAUUUUAAUAAGUACUGAUAGAGUGCCCAGUCUAGUGCCAGUCUAAGCCCACUACACUCCUUAAUUCGUUUGCCCAAUAAAUCUCCUUUGAAAUAGAUGUGAUUUUUACCCCCAUUUUGUGUACAGAGAAACUGAGAGCCAGAGGGCAAUGUCAUGACUAACUAGCCAAGGGUUACACAGUUAGUAAUUGGCAGAGCCAACAUUCAAAUCAAGUGGCCUGGCCCUGAGUCCAUUUUCCUAUCUAUUCUGUUGGCCCAGACACAAAACUCAGCCCAAAAGCUGUACCCUAUCAAAGGGUCUGGAGGCCUGGGACUGGGGCUCUUCGAUAACUAUUGCCCUUGCCCCUCCCUGGAAGGUGCAAUUGCAAAGUCUCCUUUAACUUGCCUUUCAAAGGCCGAAACGGAAACCCCUGCUACUUCUGGGACUAGGUUUCCAAAGGUUGUGCUGGCAGCCAGAGCACAACAGCUGCUCAGCUAUGCGAGGAUCCAGCAGCCCCAGAGGAGGAGGUGUAGUAAGGCCUGAUGCCCUGUGCCAAGCCCAGCACCCACCAGCUGCCUCCCUCCCCCUUCCAUCAGAGCAGGAACCAUGUUAACCCUGUCAGCACCAGCCGCCCAGGCUCAGAGAAGGAGCUGGGUUUCCCCAGAGGCUAAGUUGCCCAUAAACGCAAAGCUAGUGAUUUCAACUCUCCCUUACCCUUUCCACACCAUGACUUUUUUUUAUUGCUCUGUUUUCACGUUUUGAAACCACUCAGCUGAGCAUUCUUUUCUCAUCUUGUUUCUGUACAAGUCUUGCAAGUUUCUAUGCCUUUUAGCCUGCAAGCUCUAGCUGUUUCGUUGCAGUCUACCCAGUGAGUUACAACAGGGAGAAAACAUACACUAUACCAAGUUAAGUGGAUUCUAACAUUCAGAGGUGUCUAUAGUGAUCAGAAAGCCCCUUAUUAUGUCAUUUCUCUAUCUUUGCACAGAGGCAUUGGCAUCCUUGGAUACCACAAAGUGUGAGCUCAAAUACAGUGAGAUUCUCCCUCCUGGGUAGGCACAGAAGGGAACGCCUCACCCCAGAUAUUGAUCCUAGAGCAAAAAGAUGACACAGAGACUUCUGGAUUCCUACCCCUAGGACCCUGCUCAGCAUAAGCCAUCUGGGGUGGGGACUGGAUCCUUAAGGAUCCACACAAGAAGCUCUUAAACAGAACAGAAAAAAAACAAAAACAAAAAAAAAA